ensembl:lncRNA LINC02557 long intergenic non-protein coding RNA 2557
UGCCCUUUCCCCUCCAGGCUGCUUCCAGACUCUGCCGGUUGUCGAGUGCCCUGGAAACCCGCUCACCCUGCAGGAGUUACUCAGUGUCCUGUGUGCAUCCAGACCUUGGUGUGUGGUAUCGAGCCUGUCUCCUGUCUGAGUCUGUGACUUCUCAGGCGCACAUGUCGUGGCCUAUUCAUUUUCUUAUCCUCGUUGCCCAGCGCCGCGCCUGUCACACGGUGGGUGCUCCGUAGAGUGGGCUGGAGGAUAGAAGCAAUCAAUCCCCAAUACCGUGGACGUGCUUGGUGGCAGGAGAUGCUUUGCUUCGAUGAAAUGCUCCGCCUCCAGGACAGGAGAAGACCUUGGUUUUGACCCUGAGGAAACAGCAAAACUUGGACCUUGAAGACAGGAGAUUGCCAUGACUAAUUUGGGGGCAGGCGGUGUGACUUUGAGUAUGUUACCUAACCUUGCUGAGCCACGUGGUACUGGUGAGGAUUC